AUGUAUAGGUUGAUGGAAUGGGGUUUGCUACCGCUUGAUGUGGCUACAGAGGUCUUUGCGAAGAAACAGGGUCUGAAACUGAGGUCACCGGUCAAAACGCCUUCCACGCAGAGAAGGGCAAGUUCUCUAACCAAGAAGAUACUGCUGUUAGGCGAUAAGAAAACCAACUCAGGUACAAAGGGAAAAACCACAGCGCAAAAGAAGAGAGCAUCUAGCGACAUAGAUGACGACGAGGACGACGACUUUGUCAAAACCAACUCAGCCACAAAGGGAAAAACCACGACACAAAAGAGAAAGAAGGCAUCUAGCAACACAGACGACGACGACGACGACGGUGACUUUGUCAUGCCUAAGAAGCCCAAGAAGCAAUAG
rnacentral:rRNA from 1 species